ACUUUUGAUGGCUUAGCGAGCAAGUAUGCGUGUAGAGAUUGAAUAAAACAAUUUUUCUCUCUCCCUCCCGAAUUUUCGUCCCCCACCCUCUCUCUCUACUCUCUCUCUUUUCUCUUCAAUUCACCAUGAAAGAACACUCUAAAGCUUCUAAACACCUAGAUCCACCAUCACAAAUCAAAGAACUAGCUCUAAACCUUCUAAAUCUAAGAUCAAGAGCAAGAUAUUUGAGCAUCAAGAGCAAGAGCCAAGGUCACCUUCAAACUUCAUUCAAAUCUUUGAGCACGAGCGACGAAAGGAAGUGAGGUGAAGCAAGAGCUUAAUAAAGAAAGAGUAAGCAGGAGUCCAGGUGGGCUUUCGAACUAAAAUGAAAUGAUGCUUAUGAGUUUGAUGAAUGAUUUGAGUUAAAGUUAUGUUUAAAACUAAUUGACUUGCCAAUGUUUGAUGAUGAUGAGCUUGUAUGUUACCCUCUACUGAUGAGACGAAUUCGGUCUUGCCGCAAGCUGGAUUGUGUACACAGAUGGUGACCAUGAGCCGUCUAUCGGGUUGGCCGGUCACGGUGCUUGAGAAGGAGGCCUACUUCUCAGUACCUUUGAUGAUGAGUAGUGGAUGUGGUACAUACAUGAUGAAUGUUUUAACUGCACAGGUUCUUUUAUAGUAAAAUCCAUGUAUGGCUUUGAUGGAGAUGGAAGGGUGCUGAGCUGGCUUGUUGUGAAGAAGGGAGAGUUGAACUCUAGGUUACAUGUCUUCAUACAUGUAAUCAUUACAAAGUCCGCUACGAUGCUUUUAUAAACCUUAUUUAUUUCAACAUUGUUCUAAACUUGAGAUAUUAUUUGAGACUUGUAUUUUCCCAUGUGACUUUAGACAACUUAUUGAAUUUAAUUGAGAGUUGUCUAACUAAUAAACUUGAUAUUAAUGUGUA